GCUGGGAGCCAGCAAGCUCAGCUUCUGGACUGGACAUGGAAGGGCCCAGCUGGAUCUCAGCUGGGUUCUUCCCUCCUCUUUAUAGGGACAAGCUUUCACACAGCAGAGAGAAAUGAGAGAUCCAGAAAUGAGGAAGCUGUGAAGGUCACAAUGCUGGAUUCCAAAACGAGUCUGCCUGACUCUGAAAUGCCAACCUUUGCGCCUACCCAAGGUCACAUAGCAGCACAACAAAAUCUUGAGCAAUUUUGGACCCAGCAAACAUAGACUUCCCAGGACAGACCGCUUGUCCUUGCCAUGGCCCUUCAUGCUCUGGUGAUGGAGAUCGCAGGGGUUCAGCAGCCCUCCAGCUAAUCACUUCUCCCUCCAAGAGGAGUAGCUAUUGCCUUGCAUCUCUGCCUCAUCAAAGGAGAACCAAAUUGGCUUGUGGGCAUUCUACUGGGAUUGGUAUGUGGCAUGUUGCAUUAAUAGAGUGUUUGAAGUACAGCCUUCAGAAAGUAUGCUUCCAUUUGCCACACUUUAUCAUAAUCAGAGACUCAGAGCAUCGACCACAAGAAAGAACAGAGUCUGAAGUCUUUAUUGAAUGAAAGAUAGAUAAGCAGAGUAGGGCAGGAGAAAGGUUGUAGAAAAGACCCAAUUCACGUUUUCAAUAACCAUGCACAUUUCCACAAUGUCUUAGGAGCAAGAUUAUGUCUUACAAGCAAGAUGACUCAAGGACGUUGUGGGGAAUGAGCGUGAAUUGACAAGACAAACUUCCAUAGUCUCUGGAGUGAUGUGCAAGGGUGACCCCAAAGGUCAAAGGACUCAGAUCAUAAACUCAUAGUGGGAAGGAACAAAAGAGAUCAGCUCCUCAUGUUAAAACUAGGACAGCUGAAGCUCAGGGAGUAUAUAGACUUAACCAAGGUCACGCAGGUGGUUGGUGAUGGAACAAGACCUGAAGUAUCCAGGUUUCCAGCAUCUGUUUAUGACCUCACGCUGACUUUUAGGAGGACAUGACUAUGAGCAAACAUAAAGGUUUUCAGAUGGCAGAAACCAAGGCACGGGUGUAAAAGGCCAGGGAAGUAUUCCAGGAGGACACAGAAUAAACUGAAGAGGCUUUGAAGAAUAGAUCCCAUUUAAAUAAAAGGGGAGCAGAGGACACUGCAGAAAGCAGGGGAUGCCCUCCAUCUGCCCAGAAUGUGCCAAACCUGGCAUCUCAAUAUCAGAACAAAGAGAUAAGCAGAUUCUUGUGAUGAAAAAUUGCUACCGCAGUAAAAUUAAAUCCCCCUUCCCGGAAGAAACAUAAGCCCUUGUAAAGACAAGAAAUCUAAACCUCUGUGUCCUCACUUAAUAGUUUAAAGAAACUUACAAGAUCCUUGAAAGGUUGAAGAGAGAAGCGGGGUAGAAUUCACUUUUUCUCCCUGCUUAAAGGAAUAGGGUUUCCUGCUAACAGCUGUAACACUCAGGAAGCACCAGAGGGUUUCAUCCCUGGUAGGGCAGCAGGGCAGGGACAGUUCCCCAGAGCGUGGGAGGGGAAUCCAGCUUCCCCAGAGGCUCAGCCAGUCACCAGUGGGGGAGGCACUCCAGGAAGCCUGAGACUCCCUCUCAGCUCAUUGGCCCAUCACCCAUCUCCCCCAACUAGGAUGGGAUGAAGGCUCUAAAACCAAGAUACCAAGACAGCCGCUCACGUUGGCCAGCAUUCAUGAAACAAUCGCAGGCGAAAAACGUAGAACCCAGGAUGGAGACGUACAUAGGAGGAAUUACGAUUGAAAAGAAAAAUGAAUGCAGUUGUGUCCAGUUGUCAGGAUGUUGGUUGUUUUUGUUUGUUUGGGGGUUUUGUUGUUUGUUUCCUCUUUUAAAAUGAUCUUCAUUAUAAUUUUAUGUGACUUAAAUAAUUAAAACAUUUUCAACUGUGCUUGCCUUUCUCUCCAACCCACCCCCAACAUACAGGGAGCUGGUAGAAGAAGCAGGCAAAGUUUUUCUCCAGCACUCAUUCUCCCACUCCAUUUCCCUAAUCUCUUCAUUUUAUAUCCUGCAUUAUCUUUCCCAGGCCUAAUUCUUUAACCAUUAUCUCAAAUUACUGAUUCUCUCUCUCUUCUUCCUCCUACCACAUACUCCCCCAAAUAUACGGAAUACUGGAACUGUCCCAGUCACAGCAGUGCAGCAGCUUACCUGUUGGAGGAAGGUGCAGGCAGAUGGGUGGCACCCCCAGGAUAUAUAUUCACUUACAGCUGGAAGUCUCCAAAGAUGGCCACUGUCAAUGCCUGCCUUCUCUGUGGAUGUAUGCUACUUCCUCCCCUUUUAUUUUGGCCAAUAAGAUGCAGUGGACAUGGCAUUCCAGGGCUUCCAAGACUAGGUAAUAAGAAGCCUUGCAGCUUGCUCUUGCCUCUCUGGGAAUACUCAUUUGUAGGAGACUGCUUUUGAGAACAUGGCUACCAUGCUGUGAGAAGCCCAAGCCAAUGGGAGAGGCCAAGUGUAGGUGGUCUAUUCAGUUGAUAAGUGUUGAUAGUCCAACAGCUGGCAUCUACCUCCAGGGCAUCCUGUCCAUCUAGCCCAGUCAAGAUGAAUCCAGCCACAGCCUCCAUAUCACUAAAACUGCAUGAGAGAGCUCAAGUGAAAGACACCCAGCUGUGCUUCCCCAGUCCACAAAACUGAGAGAUAAUAACCUGGCACUUGAAGACACCAAGUUUUCAGGUGGUUUGUAAUGUAAGAUAAAAGGAACAUUUUUAAAAAGUGAUAUGACAAUAAAACAUUUUCUGUGGUCCUUGAUUUG